UAUACUUGUUCUUUGGAUUUGAACUCAUCUCAAAGGUAUGUUCUUUUACUUUCAAGUGUAAGUUAAUAUAUACUCACGAUUAUUUUCCUGUUUAUUCUUGCAUUUGAUUUUCAAGUUAUUUAUCUUUUUCCAUUGCUUCUCAAGUUCCCCAAUUUCUUUUGUUUUAGCCCUUAUAAAAGCACAUUAUGCUUUGGGUUUGUCAUUUUAGUUCACGUUCACAAUAAUGAUAUUUGAUAUUUUCUUUUAACUUCGUGUUUAUUGGAGAAUAGGUAUUGUGUCAUUAUUGGGUUGUGCACUUGUGUGCUUAUAGUUUUUUCUUUUUUUAUUUUUUUUUAUUGAAGAUGGUAGAUAAUGUGCCCUCAUGCAUUGCUAUGUUUCAUUCAACUUUUGGGCAUGCUUUUUAUUAAGGGUAAUAUGGAGCCAAACAAAGAAGAUGAAAAGGGUAAAGUGUUGGUAGAUGGAUUUACAAGUGUUUUGCGAAGAAGUGAUAGUAGAUUAGUAGGGACGUAGGAUAAUUAGUAUCCCCAAAAGGAGAGUAUUUUCCCCUUCACGAUUGUUACUUCCUAAUUGUUCAAAAUUUGAGGGAGUGAAUACUAUAUAACCCAAAGAUGAAGAUAGGAGCUAUAAAUUUUCUUUCACGUGUGGCUCAAAAACGCACACCUGAAUGAAUUGCUUUCUUUCUCUUCAGAAAGGAAUAACCAAUGCUGGUGGAAGUUCGAAUGAUGGGGGUUCUUGUGAGCUCUCCUACUACUCUAGUUGGGCAGGAUUUAUCUGUCUUUGAUUUUUGUUUGUUUCCUCUCUGCUUGUCUUUUUUUCUGGCUUUUGAAAGAGUUUGGAUGUUAAUGACAUGUGCUUAUCAUAUAUGAGUUUUUCAAUGCACAGAUGGUUGUUGAUUUCACUGCUUCAUGGUGUCCACCUUGCCGUUUAAUUGCACCUUUCCUGGCUGAGCUUGCUAAGAAGCUUCCCCAAGUCAUAUUUGUUAAGGUGGAUGUGGAUGAGUUAAAGUUGCAAGUGAUUGGGCUAUUGAGGCAAUGCCAACGUUCAAGUUCCUGCGAGAAGGCAAGAUUAUUGAUACGGUCGUGGGUGCAAAGAAGGAAGAGCUGGAGGCGACUAUAGCAAAGCAUGUUUCUACUGCUUAAUUGGUUGAAUUGUUGUAUGUUGGGGUUUCUAUCGUUUACUACGUAUUUGCCUAUUUGGUAUGAAGCAACAGAUCUUAUCAUAAAGUAGUUAUGCUGGUUUCAGGAAAUAUUACAUCUUAAUAAUGUGUUGCUGCUCUUUGA